GGAGGGAUACCCAAGCGGCCAACGGGGGCAGGCUGUAAAUCUGCUGGCGUACGCCUUCGGUGGUGCGAAUCCUCCUCCCUCCACCA
rnacentral:tRNA from 1 species